AAAAAUGAUGGAAGCCCAUGAUGAAAAAUGCAAAUUAGUGAAUGAAGGCACAUCAAUUUUGCCUGAUAUUAACUUGGGAAAGAAACCAGAGACAAAUGAUUAUAAUCCCUCAACCGAAAUAGUAGUUUACAAUCCAGACAUGGAUUGAACAAAUGGAGAGGAUGGUCCAGGCCAAAACCAAGUUUACCUU